rnacentral:rRNA from 1 species
GCCUCUGGUCUACCAGUUGUUAUGAGCAGGCUGGGCAGCUACGCAUUAUACCGAUAAGUACUGAAAGCAUCUAAGUACGAAGCGGUCCGCAAAACGAGAUAAUUAAGGCUCGCGGUAGAAGACCGCGUUGAUAGAGUUGGUGUGUAAGUAU